CCUCUAGAUGAGGAAGAUUUGAUUGCUUAUAUUCUAAACGGCCUAGAUGGUGAUUAUGAUUCUGUUUUUUCUGCAAUCGGCAUGAAAUCUGAACUAAUCUCUGUUAUGGAAGUAUACUCUCAGCUAUUAAAUUUUGAGA
rfam:Oryza glaberrima chromosome 5 Oglab05_0102_4, whole genome shotgun sequence.